CAGUAGCCGCGGGAAUACGUAGGGUGCGAGCGUUAAUCGGAAUUACUGGGCGUAAAGCGUGCGCAGGCGGUUUUGUAAGACAGGCGUGAAAUCCCCGGACUCAACCUGGGAAUGGCGCUUGUGACUGCAAAGCUAGAGUGCGGCAGAGGGGGAUGGAAUUCCGCGUGUAGCAAUGAAAUGCGUAGAUAUGCGGAGGAACACCAAUGGCGAAGGCAAUCCCCUGGGCCUGCACUGACGCUCAUGCACGAAAGCGUGGGGAGCAAACAGGAUUAGAUACCCGCGUAGUCCCUGUCUCUUAUAC
rnacentral:rRNA from 1 species